rnacentral:lncRNA from 1 species
AAUUAAACGGGCGAACAUAAACACACGUUUUGUUCGUUCAUUUAUGUUCGUGAACGUCCGUUUAUGUUCAUUCAUACAUGUUUGUUUAUUUUUGUUAUUUAUCUUUGUUUAAAUUUUUAAAAAAUACAUAAGCAGUUAUAUUUAUAUAAAGAGAAGAGUAAAUUACAAGUUUUGUCCUUUAUGUUUGUCCCAAAUUUCAGACGCUGUCCUUUACCUUUAAAAUUGAUGAGUUUUGUUUGUUGGUUUAUGUUCCUGAACUAUUUGUUUAGUUCUUAAACGAGCGAACAUGAACGAACAUGAACAAUAAAAGAACAUGAGCAAAACAUGAACAUGCUCAUUUUCUUAAUAAAAGAACAUGAACAAAAAAAUGUGUUUGAUUAUAUGUUCGUGUUCAUGUUUAGUUAAAGUUAAAUGAACAAACACGAACAUACUCACAUUUAUAUUCAUUCGAUUCGUUUACAGGCCUAAAUAAAACCAUUACAACAUCAAAACUUAACUCUAAAUACAUUCGUAUUUAUUCAAUUCGUUUUCAAGCCUUUGACAAGGGAUUUACCCUUCAAUGGCCUUCAACUCAAAUGUUGCAAGGGCCUCUCCAUCAGUCCAUGUAAGCCAAGGGCAUGCUUCAAGAACUUGUAUUGGAGAUGGUCAUACAACUAGUGGCAGAGCUUGACCAAAAGUUUCGAGGAGGCGUAAGGUGAUGGGACCCAAAUUUAUCGUUAUGUUUCGCUUCAAGUCGGGUCAAAUAAUAAUAGUUCCAAAUAAAACAAAGUGUAUAUUUACCAAACUACCCAUCAUUUAUAUACAAAGUUUAUAAAUAUUGAGGAUAUACAAUUUAGGAAAAAUAAUCGGGGGGACGAUCCUAUAUAAUUUUAAAAUUUUUGGAAGAAAAAUCGAAACUUAUACACUUCUAACCGAAACAUUGGGGUGGACGGGUGCACCCCGGGCAUCCACUAUACUUCGCCCAUGCAUACAACCGAACAUAUUCGCCAUAGUGCCAUACAAGAGAACGAGUUCACCAAAAAAGAGAACAUGUCUAGUUGGAAACGAACAAUUCCAUAAACAAGACAACGUUCUAAAAUUGUUGUUCUUUCCAAGUUACCUUUCUUGCAAAAAAACAAGUAAAUAAUUAAAUUUCGAUUUUGAAAACAAUUAUGUUCAUUUCGCCUUACCUUCAUUGCACAAUCUAUUACUAAAAUCAACUAGUAAAAGAUUUGUCCAAAAUCUCAUCCACCAAAUUUCAUUGGAGAAAAACAGAUCCAUUAUGACUCAAAGAUUCAAAGAAAAACAAAAGUCAUAAUACUCAAUUAUUGAAACAAUACACAAAUCAAAACUUGGAAAAAUUGUUGAUACGAAAAAGAGAAAUUGAACCAUUAUGGGAGGAUACGAAGAUACCAUAUUAUGACAUCCGCUAACGGCUAAUGAACACUUACCAUACAAUCUUAUUUAAACAAGGAAAUCACGAUCGAGAAAUACGAUAUUUGGAGAGGUAAAACCAUAUCCAAGAUUUCAUCCAUCAAAUCCACUUUAAAUCAAACACCAAAAAUCAAUGGAUCAAACUUAGAUAUGAUUUACAAAAAUACUAAUGGAAAUUUUGGAAAAUUGAUUGUAAGAAAAAGAGAAAUUGAAAUGGAUCGGCUAAAC